GACGAACGCUGGCGGCGUGCUUAACACAUGCAAGUCGAACGGAAAGGCCCUGCUUUUGUGGGGUGCUCGAGUGGCGAACGGGUGAGUAACACGUGAGUAACCUGCCCUUGACUUUGGGAUAACUUCAGGAAACUGGGGCUAAUACCGGAUAGGAGCUCCUGCUGCAUGGUGGGGGUUGGAAAGUUUCGGCGGUUGGGGAUGGACUCGCGGCUUAUCAGCUUGUUGGUGGGGUAGUGGCUUACCAAGGCUUUGACGGGUAGCCGGCCUGAGAGGGUGACCGGCCACAUUGGGACUGAGAUACGGGCCAGACUCCUACGGGAGGCAGCAGUGGGGAAUAGUGCACAAUGGGCGGAAGCCUGAUGCAGCAACGCCGCGUGCGGGAUGACGGCCUUCGGGUUGUAAACCGCUUUCGCCUGUGACGAAGCGUGAGUGACGGUAAUGGGUAAAGAAGCACCGGCUAACUACGUG
rnacentral:rRNA from 1 species